GGAUGUGAGGGUGAUCUGGCUGCAACAUCUGUCACCCCACUGAUCACCAGGGUUGAUACGGCUGAUCUGGCUGGCUAGGCAGGUGUCCCUCCCUCCCUCACCGCUCCAUGUGCGUCCCUCCCGGUCUUCAGGUUGAUUGAGGGUAUAGGAGUAGCUGCGCUCCCCUGCUAGAACUUCCAGACAAGUUCUCAUAAAGUGAAGGAGUCUCUUGGUGCCACAUAAAUUUCUGUUUCUAAGGGAAUAGCUACUUCUGUUAGAAAUGAGAAUGU
ensembl:misc_RNA 7SK 7SK RNA